CGUUCUUUUUCCUCUCGCGGUCCCCAGGAGCCCAGGCACCCCUCGACGCCGCUGCCGGCGGAACCGGGAACCCUCCCCGGGGCUCCCUGCGGGCCCGAAGCCGCCUUCCCGAGGCGGCGGAGUUGGGCAGCUCCGGGCCCCGCGCCGCCCCGCGCCGCCCCGCGGAGCCGGAGUUUCUCUCCGGAGUCUGGACACAGCUCUCCGCUUCGUCGCCGCGCACUGGACCCCGGUAGCGUGGAGCCUGCCCGGGAAGCUGGGCUGCGCCGGCCUGGGGCGAAGGUCCAAGGGGCGCGGGGGCCGGGACGCGGGGCUGUGGCGACGACCGGCCCUCUGCGAACGCUCAGGCCGGCGGGUCCGGGGCCACAGGCUGGGAGUGGAGCUGGCGGCCACUGGGGAGUAGAGAGGACGCCCAGGAACAGGUGCACCAGGGUCCCGGCGGCUGGGCCGAGGGUCGCAAGCAGAGGGGACCGGCGGCUGCCAGCAAGUCCCAAGCAGAUGCCUCCGGCGGGGCAGCCGCAUUUUACAGCGCCCAUUCCGCGUACAUCGAGUAUCCAAAACGAGUAAAAUCGGUUUAUACGUUGGAAUGUAGCUUAUGAUUCCAAAAUCUCAUCUCCAGGCUGCCUAGAUCACACGGCCCCGUUUCAUUCAUUUUUACUGAAUAACGGUCGUUGGACAAUUUAGAGAAGCAGCAGAAACCACGAGAAAAACAGUGGAGUCAAACGGCGGUAAGGACCGACAAGGCUGGCGGGGACAUUGAGCAAACGGCGGCUUCUGAGUUGGCACCUGUCCUUCACCACGUUGUGUGGGAAGUGUGGGGAGUCGGGAUUCCCACUCCUCCCCAGCCUUCCGGAAAAAUGCUCGGAAAUUUCCUUCCACAUUGACACCUGAUUACAGUCUAAAUAGUAACCUUAUUCUGAUUGUUAAUGUAACCCUCUCGUAAUCUCUACAAAAAUACUUUAGUUUUUCUAGCUGUGUUUUCAUGUAAUCACUGAAAUUAUUUUUAAUUGGUUUUAAGCAUUCAUUGAUUCCAUUUACACCACCUGCAAAAAAGUUACAUAGGUGAUCGCUAACAAUACUAGAAUUCGCCCCAUCCAAAGGAAACAUUAGAGUAGAAAAAGAAAAAGGAUUUGAGAAUCCAGUAGGAAAUUCAGUUAAUCAUUCCUUCCCUGUUACUCAACUACCUUAACAUUGUCAGGUUUACCUGAACAUAAACUUCAUUUUCUUAAUUGUUCUUAGAACGAAGGGAUAUGUUUAUUGAAAUCAGUAAUUAAGAAUAUUUUGGGACAGUUAUGAUUUACUUAGCCAGUGAAGCAGUUUCUAUUCCCAAAUCCAGGCAAAGAGAACAAUAAGAUUAAACGUAACCUAAGAGAUUUCCUUUUUGUCAAAUAAUGUGAUUUUGCUAUGUAUAGAGGAGAUGUCUAUAUGUAAGGGCAUAUUUAUGACCAGUAGUUCCUAAAAUUAAGGGGACUAUUAUUGUGUUACUCAAGGUAUCAGUUGUAUAGGAUACAUUAUGUCAUAUUUCAAACAAUGUUUAUAAAGAGAUUAGUAUAAUUAACCUGUGUGUACUUCUCCUCUGGGCCAACCUUGUGUCUUCUUUAUCUGCUGACAGUCCUCUCCCCACUGAAUUAUUUUGAAUCAAAUCCCAGAUAGUCUAUCAUUGUAUUGUAUUUUUGAAUAUUUCUCUAAAAGAUAAUAAUUCCAUCAAUGAGACUGGGUGCAGUGGCUCCUCCCUGUAAUCCCAGCUCUUUGGGAGGCAGAGGUUGGAGGAUCACUUUAGGCCAGGAGUUCAAGACCACCCUGAGCAACAUAGCAAGACCCCAUUUAUAAAAAAGAAGAUUCCCAUCAACGUAACCACAAUACCAUUAUCACACCUAAAUAAUCCAUUAAUAGCAUCGGUUUAUCCAGGCAAUAUUUAAAUAUCUUCAAUUGUCUAAAAACUUUUUGUUUAGUUGGUCGGUUUGAAUUAGAAUGCUAAUAAGGGUUACGUAUUGUGUUUGGUUGAUAUGGGCUAUUAUAUCUCUUUUAGAUUUCCUCAAUCCUCUUUUUUUGUUUCCCUUGCAUUUUUUAUGGGAGAAACUGAACGGUUUGUUCUGAAGAAGUUGACAUUCUGGACUUUGUAGCUGCAGGUAAUAGUUUUUUGGCAAGAUAUUCCCAGGGAUAAGGUCGUUUAUUCAGACUUUUGAAUAUUGGCAAAUAAUAAUAUUGUUUGUAGAGGGAGAAGGAUUAGUCAAGAUAUUUUGAAGAAUCAACUAUUGAAAAAACAAAUUUUUAUCAGAGUAAGCAUGGAUCUGGUAAAGAUUAUGUGAAAUUUUCCUAAAUGCAAAUACAAUCUAAAAUUGUAAUGUCUUACAAUUAAAAAAUAGAUUAUUUUCCAUAUAUUUAUAGAAAUAUAAAUGAUCAAUCAACUAUUUCAUUGACAAUUUUAAAUCUAGUUUUGUCUUGAGGAGAAUAAAGUUUUUUAUAUCUUUAGUAUUUUAGUUGAAGAUCCAAAGACAUUUUAUGUUAAAACUUUAGGUUUUAUAUUGUUUUAUGUUUUAAAACAUAAAAUCUAAAAUGUGGUAAUAUCCAUGAGGUGCAGAGAGAGUAAUAGCACAAAUUCUGUGUUCAUGAAAAUUCAUUUUAGGAUAACUUAAUUAAAAGGACUCAGGAUUUGAAUGAUAUUAGAUUAGACAGAAAAAAGUUCACUUGAGUGUAAGACAUAAGUAAUAAAAACCAAAGGUAGCUAACUUUUGUAGGCUUCUUCUUUCUUUAACGAGUAUGCAUAUGAAAUAAAAUUUCCAUGUCUAUGUCCAUUUUUCCAAGGUACAUGGGCUUCUACAAUUUCGUCUAUUUCAUCCUGCAGUUAUUUUCACGGGUCUCUGUGUCCACCACUAUCUGGAAUCUCUGAGAUGGUGAAAACGAAAUCUUAUUCUUCUUUAUAUUUCAAACAAUUCCUAGCACAUUAUCAAAAAUACCUGAUAAAAUUUAUUGUGUCUGUAAUACUGGUAAGCAUGUAAAAUGGUGGUAAAUAUAUAGGCUUUAAGUUUAGAUAGUUCUAAAUAUUAUUAAAAUUACCAAAUUAUUGUUUUUAAAAAGUAUUAGUUUCCUAGGACAAAUAGAGAUUUUUAGAUAAGGCUGGAUUUGUAAUACUUUAAGCAACAGGUCACAGUGCUUAAGUAUUUAAUGCCGAUUUGGCAAGCAGCUGAUGUUUUAUAUAAUGCUGUCGGGUAUUUUAUAUUUGCGUGUAUUUUCUGAUGCACUGGAUCCAGCACUUCAUGUCACGUCAUAUAUCUGUUUAUAAUGUAUACAAAUGUAUUUUCAUAUAUAUUUGAUGUUUGAUGGCUUUGAAACUUUAAUCUUGAAAUAGGUUUUAAAUUUUUAUUAAAACUAUUUAAAUAAUUACUGUAAGGAAAGAGCUCUUAUUAGUUGAAAGAAAAUGUAGAUUCAUGUUUCCUUGGAGACUAGUCUAGUUUCCAAGGAUAGACGGCAGUGAGGAGUCGGGUAUCUAGAUGGAAUUUCUGUUGGUUUGGAUUCCAGCUCUGCUGCUUACCAGCUUUGUGACCUCAGGCAAACAACUUAACCUCUCCAAGCCUCAAUUUCCCCAUCUAUAUAAUGGUGAUAUUUAUAAGUUUCACCUUAUAGGGCCACGGUGGGGAUUCCAUGAAAUAGUGUAUGUGAAGUGCUUAGCACAGUGCCUGGCACAUACUCAAUGCUCUAUGCAUGUCAGCUAGUACUUAAUGAUGCUAAUAAACAUGUUAUGUCCCUAAGCACGGGUGGGAUCUUGCCUGACGUCCUUCUCUCUGCGUCCUGGUCAGUCUUCACAUGGUGGGCAUCCUUUAUUUCCGGUCACACACGGGUGGUACACAGAGCAUGCUGUUUCUUUCGUGCCAGAAGGUUCCCGCUGCAGCUCUCCUGCUAGUUUAGCUUAGCCUUCUGGUUUGAGGGAUGAGUCACAUGUACCAUCACUUCCCAGGACCAACAGGACCUUUCAGGAAAGCUAUCCCCUGCUUACACAGAGAAUUGCCCUUGCCUAACACUGAAGCCUGGCAGAGUAACAUGAAAUAACCACAGCAAUUCUAAAAUUAGAAUUAGCACGCCUAGAAUAACAGGCGCUGUUGUAGGAGCAAGGUAUACAAUGAUGAUCAAGGCAGAUGCAGCCCUUACCUUCAGGUCGUGGAGUCCGGAUACAGACUGGAGGCAGAGGCAGCUGUAAGAUGUGUGACAAAUGCUGCGCUGGAUCAGCCCAUGGUAUUAGGAGAGCAGCCUCCCAAAGUGCUGGGAUUGCAGGUGCGAGCCACCGGGUCCAGCCUCUCAGGCGAUUUUCAUACCUGCAUACUCUGAUCACUACGCUGUUAAACAGUCAAGGAGGGUAAGUAUUAUCUUCAGAUUUCCAGAGCUCUGUCUCUGUACAGCCCUCUCCUCCUCAAUAUUCUGCCCUAUGAAUUCUAGCCACAUUGGCCUUCCCAGACUCACAGUUCUGUCUUCUCAACUCAGGAAGAUCUCUGAGCUCCAUCUGCAUUCUUUCUUCCUGUGCUGUGGCUUGGAAAGUUUUCUAAGGUGUUUGGGAGGUCAAUUGUGGGGCUAGCCUCAUUUGUUUCUCAUCUCUUGAGGAUCACUGCCCUUUGAUGCUUGAUUCCAGUGAUUGAUUCCCUUUGUUGCUUGAGGGCCAUAGUUUCAUAUAUUUUGUCCAGUAUUUUUGUUGUUUUAGGUCAGAAAGUAAUUUUGGUCUCUGUUACUCCAUCUUGGCCAGAAGUGUAAGACCUAAGCAUUUACACAUCAAAAUACUGCACACAUAAUUUUAGUUUAAGCUACUUUUAAAAAAAUCUGCUUCAUUUUCCAUUAAGCAUUCUAUUUAGGGUAUUACAUUGUUUUUUUUGAAAUUCUGUUAUUGGCAGUUUCUAUUGCCUAUCAAUCCCAUUUAAAGAUAGUGCAUAGGGUAUUCUAAAAUAGCUGUUAAGCAAAGAGAAAAUUGGGCCUGAUAGGGUGAGAAUCACAGCUCUAAUACCUAGAGUGACCUUAUAAUGUAUUGUCCAAAGGAGAUAUUUUUGACAGUGAAAGAGGGUGUUGUUAGUAAUUAUAUCAGGACCAUGGCCUAAACCAGGACUAUCCCAGGCAGCCUGGGACAUAUUUGUACCCCAUCUCUAUUUAAUGCCUUUAUACAAUUCUUAAUUCUACCAGCCUUUAUUGAGCCUGCUUUCUUUGUCUAGCUGAGUGCCACGUGCUGACAUCACUAAGAUCAAUACAGCAAACUCUGAAAGAUGGACGGAGAGACAGGAGAUGGUCCUUUAUAAUGCAGUGUGAUCUGUGCUGCAAUAGAGUUUUGGAAGCUAGAAGUUCAAAACGAGGUGUUGGCAGCACCAUGCUCUCUCUGAAGAUGCUAGGAAGAAUCUGCUCCAUGCCUUUCCAUUCGCUUCUGGGGUUUCCUGCAAGCCCUGACAUUCCUUGGCUUGUAGAUACACCACCCCAGUUUCCGCCCCCAUCAUCACAUGGCCUCCUCUCUGUGUGUGCCUCUGCGUUCCCUCUAUUCUUCUUCUAAGGACACCGACACCAGUCAUAGUGGAUUAAGGGUCCACUCCUAACCAAUUACAUCUGCAACAACCCUAUUUCCAAAUAAAGUCACAUUCUAAGA
rnacentral:lncRNA from 1 species